rnacentral:tmRNA from 1 species
GGGGAUGUAAAGGUUUCGACGGGGGCGUGGAAACCGGAUAAGCGAGCCGCAGUUUGUCCAGUCUGCGUUAAAAAGGACACGUUAAAUAUAAACGCUAAAAAUAACAACAAUUUCGCAUUAGCAGCGUAGUUCUGCACCGCGUGUCAGCCCAUAUUUACCUGUAGGUAUGGAAUCUGGCAUCGACUAUACAGGAAAACCUGACAAGUGAGUCCGGCCUUGUCAGGGAACAACGGACUAGCCGAUUUAUGAACCUGCUGACGGGUGCUUAAAAAGGCGAAACUUAAAUCAUCAGCUGCGCUCGGAGAAAUUCCUGUGGAAAUACUUUCGGACGCGGGUUCGACUCCCGCCAUCUCCACCA